UACGGAGGGUGUAAGCGUUAAUCGGAAUUACUGGGCAUAAAGGGCGCGUAGGCGGACAGUUUAGUCAGAGGUGAAAGCCCAGGGCUCAACCUUGGAAUUGCCUUUGAUACUGGCUGUCUUGAGUUCGGGAGAGGUGAGUGGAAUGCCGAGUGUAGAGGUGAAAUGCGUAGAUAUUCGGCGGAACACCAGUGGCGAAGGCGACUCACUGGCCCGAUACUGACGCUGAGGCGCGAAAGCGUGGGGAGCAAACAGG
rnacentral:rRNA from 1 species